GAGUUUGAUCUUGGCUCAGAUUGAACGCUGGCGGCAUGCCUUACACAUGCAAGUCGAACGGCAGCACGGGAGCUUGCUCCUGGUGGCGAGUGGCGAACGGGUGAGUAAUGCAUCGGAACGUAUCCUGGAGUGGGGGAUAACGUAGCGAAAGUUACGCUAAUACCGCAUAUUCUGUGAGCAGGAAAGCGGGGGACCUUCGGGCCUCGCGCUCUUGGAGCGGCCGAUGGUCGGAUUAGCUAGGUUGGUGAGGUAAAGGCUCACCAAGGCGACGAUCCGUAGCAGGUCUGAGAGGAUGAUCUGCCACACUGGAACUGAGACACGGUCAGACCUCCGUAC
rnacentral:rRNA from 1 species